UAGGUACGAGUGUUUGCCACAGAAAGGAGGGGAAAUCCCUGCUUUAACGCCAAUUUUGAAAUGUUUGGAUAUUGGCACGUUCUACUGCGGAAACGCUCUACCCCUCCUCUGCAGAAUUUCUCAAAACUACAUUAUGUUGAUGUAGAAUUGUUCUAGGCUAUAUUUCUAUUUCUCAGGGGCGGCACAACCCUAGCCAUCACUCAUACCUGCUUAUAACCACAUCUUAGUAUGCUCGCCCUCUGCGCUCAUAAGCAUAAAGGAAGCAGCAGCUCAUGCGCACACCAGCACCCAAGUUCUCCGACCCUCCUCAUCCUUCCUGGUUUGCCCUUUUUCGCCUAUCCCUCCCUCUUCAAUCCCACGAACAGCAGGUCCAAUCUCUCCCUCCUCCGGGCCGCUCAUCUGUCUGUUUAGGCGCCCCCAUCAAUUUCGGAGCCUUCCCCACAUACCGUAUCUGGCACGAACUGUCCCGUCCCACCCAUCUGCGACAACUGUCCUACAUAUCCACCGUGUACCCCUGAACGCGCACAGCCCCGCCCCCAUUCACGUUCUUUUCUGUGGCCCACGCAAGUUUAAAAUCAUGUAAUGCUUGAACAUUUAACGCUGUGUCUCUGGCUUUGCGCCAUGCAGGUCUGGCGCUGGGCUGCGCAGUCGCGCGGUUCCCUCUCUGCGCGGCUGCCGGUGGGAGGCCCCUUGCCGGCGCUGCGUGGUGCGUGUGUGGACAGCGGGUGGGGCAAGCACUGCUUUUGCGGCGGUUGGGCGAUUGCGUGUGCGGGGGUGAUGUGGCUGCGGUGGGGCACCCUUCUAUUAGCUCAAGCCGCUGGUGGGCAGGUGCAGCGACUGCUUGGUAGGGGCGGGAAGCAAGUAGUUUGUGGGUAGCGUGGGUGUGGGGGCCCGCCGCCGCGGCAUGGGCUGGGACCCGCCUUGGCGGGAUCCGCCGGGAACCGGUCCAUCGUGUGGUGCCGAGGGUUUUGCCUUGUCUGACGAGUGGGGUAAACUCCCGUGCUGCGUGCAUGUAGAAAAUGAGGUCCCUCGUGGGGUCGGAAGGGUAAUGGAGUGUGGAUCCGGGCAGGGCAGCGUCAUUGGCCUCGACUGCGGGAUUGCGUGUACGUGUGUCGUACUUGAUGAUUGUGGCGUUGCUUUGCCGUUUGCUUUGGUUUGGCCUGCAGGACUUCCAGGGACGGCCGCGCCGGGGCCUCAGAGGGCCUCGGAGGUGUCGACUGCUGCCAGCGUUCCAGUAUGGAGGUGAGAGUGCGUUGGGGUAUACCGUACCGCCAGGAAUUUGUUUGGGCUGAGCCCCCCCAGCGCAGCGUUCCAGGGGGGGGGGCGAAGCCCCCCAGGAACACCCCUGUCCGUGGCUGCGCCGGCAAAACAUAGCAUACUGGCGCGAACCGCGGCUGCUACGUAUUAGUAUUUGUUAACGCCUAUUGCAUGUAAAUAGGUGGCAGGAAAAAUUCGGGCGGAACGAGAAGUGCCUUGGCGCGUCCAGGGACAAUUGACUUUCGCGAGGUCGCGAGGAAAGCAUCCGGUGCCCGCUGAUAUGCAGUCUUUAGGGCAAACUAUGUUGGCGGCAAGCAAAGCGGGGAAGUAUAUCGGAAGUUUUGAGCGACUUGCUGAGCCAUGCCUGCCGACGCGCCAGAAUGCCGAGAAGCCCCGAGGUCGCCCCCGCCCCGCGCCUAGCCCUUUGAGCGUGGGGCGCGUGCAAGGUGGUAAGCCCAAUGCUGGACCUAGACGACUGAAAACCCGGUGCAGGCGAACUGACAGCGAGGGGGGGGAGGGGGGAUAGAGGGGGACAUGUCUACCAGCCUGCACGGCACGUGUCUGUGUGUGUGUGUGUGUGUGUGUGUGUGUGUGUGUGUGUGUGUGUGUGUGUGUGUGUGUGUGUGUGUGUGUGUGUGUGUGUGUGUGUGUGUGUGU
rnacentral:lncRNA from 1 species